rnacentral:rRNA from 1 species
UACGUAGGGGGCAAGCGUUGUCCGGAAUCAUUGGGCGUAAAGGGUGCGUAGGUGGUGAUGCAAGUCUGGUGUGAAAUCUCGGAGCUCAACUCCGAAAUUGCACCGGAUACUGCGUGACUCGAGGACUGUAGAGGAGAUCGGAAUUCACGGUGUAGCAGUGAAAUGCGUAGAUAUCGUGAGGAAGACCAGUUGCGAAGGCGGAUCUCUGGGCAGUUCCUGACACUGAGGCACGAAGGCCAGGGGAGCAAACGGG